AAAGGGAGACCUAAUUCAGGUAGGAGACGAAAAAAAAGUAGUCCCUACCAAGAAUCAAUCCCAAAAGGUCGGAGCGAGGCAAAAUUGGCUUUCAAACUAGGUUCUGGGUUCACACAAGACCUGAAUCAGGAACAAGGGCUAUUAGCUCAGGUGGUUAGAGCGCACCCCUGAUAAGGGUGAGGUCCCUGGUUCGAGUCCAGGAUGGCCCACCUGUACAGGUGGCAAAAACAAAGAAAAAAAGCUCCGAAUCAGCACCUUAUCUUACUUAUAUAGUAAGAGAGAAUGCUGGCUCUGAGUACAGAGUCCAGAGGAACCUUGAAAACUGCAUAGAGCUAGGUGAAAAAGCCAAAAAAGAAGACCGCAAG
rnacentral:tRNA from 1 species